rnacentral:lncRNA from 1 species
AUGACUAAUAUGGGUCAGGUUACGAUAUCUAUGUCUGGAAAUAGUUUGUUUGUCUCCAUGUAUACAGGUGACUUGAGGACCAUGACUAGGUUCAGGGAGGAACCGAUGUCUGGAUGUUUAGGAUGCCAUGUGACAUGGUUGAACUAGAGUCGUGAUCCUUGGAGGUCAAUAUCGGUCAACAGCAGCAUGAUCGUGACUAGGCUCAGGGAGGAGCUGAGGUCCGGACGAUCGAGGAUGUCCGGUGACAAUGUUAAAUACGAGGUGGCACAUGGUAAGGGAACACAGUGUAGG